AGGCCCGACGAACGGGAGAGAGCCGGCAUCGCCGGCCGCCGAAGGAGCAACCGCCCCGGAAACUCUCAGGCAACAGGACCGCUUCGUCGAC
rnacentral:ncRNA from 2 species